rnacentral:lncRNA from 1 species
GGUGAGGGCGUGUGCCAUGGGAGAGGAAUCCUGAAGUAGGAGAAAGAGCAGGACAAUUGGCCUUUUAUGACCCGGGGCGAGUGUCUCAUCUUGGCCGUUCCCAAGCCACCUACCACCCUGGGCCUCACUGGAUGGAUGUGAAGACUGGCCUCAGUUUGGAGCAAACUGUAAAGUAUCAGAUUGAACGGCUCUCAUCCAGUUGCUGAGUGAAUGGAAUGGGCCGGUCUUCAUGGAGCUUACAGCUUGGACCUGAGCUGGAAGGGAAGGAAUGCUUGAGAGCCAGCUGUCUCCUGUGGCCUGGGCCCGGCCCCCCACUACCCAGAGAACUUGGUAAGCUGCGGUCUCCAGACACUCCAGCUGCAGAGGCAUCCUGGCUGGAGAGCUUGGGCUUCUGGUCCUGGCCAUUCCAUCUGGGCGAGUGACCUCCCCACUCGAGGCGUCAGUGGCCUGACUGGCAAAGAAUAAAUAUUGUAUUAAAGGA